AUAUUGGUAGUUCCAUGGUAGAAAUCUUGCCUUCCAUGCAGAAGACCCGGGCUCAAUUCCUGGCCAGUGCG
rnacentral:tRNA from 1 species